UAGGGAAUCUUCCGCAAUGGGCGCAAGCCUGACGGAGCAACGCCGCGUGAGUGAAGAAGGAUUUCGGUUCGUAAAACUCUGUUGCUAGAGAAGAACAUCGCAGAGAGUGACGGUUAUGCGUGGGACGGUAUCUUACCAGAAAGCGAGGGCUAACUACGUGCGAGAAGCUGCGGCAGUAUGAAGGGGCGUAGCGUGGGCUGGCUUGAUUGGGCGUAAACGGAGCGCAGGCGGUCAGUUAAGUCUGAGGUGAAAGCCCCCGGCUCAACCUGGGAGGGUCCUUUGAAACUGGUUGUCUUGAGUGCAGAAGAGGAGAGUGGAAUUCCAUGUGUAGCGGUGAAAUUCGUAGGUAUAUGGAGGAACACCAUUGGCGAAGGCGACUCUCUGGUCUGUUACUGACGCUGAGGCUCGAAAGCGUGGGUAGCAAACAGG
rnacentral:rRNA from 1 species